UAUUUAAAAUUAAUUAUCUCAUAAAAGAAAAGUAUAUAGAUAUGUAUAUGGUGUGUGUAUGUAUGUGUAUGUGUGUGUAUACAUCUUUUAAAGAAAUGAUCUACAUGCGUUGUUUAAUAUUAUCGACCAUAAUUAGCAUUGCUCUUCUUCACUGCAGUCGAUGCGUUAUCAACCCGUCGGAUAAUUGAUCAACUUAGAAUUAAUUAUGAGGCGUCGAUAUUAGAGAAUAUCACAUUCUCAGUAAAGCAAUUUAUAUACAAAUAAUUAAACAGUAGUUUAACGUUUGCGCAAUAACUAAUGGAAAGAUUUAAAUAAUAAUGAACAAACAUAUUUUUCGUACCUUUCUGAGAAGGCACAUAUUUAUAAUAUAGUAAAUAUAUAAGAAAGUAUGUCAUGAGAUGAUAAACUUUGAUCGAAGAUAAAAAUUGCAAUAAUAAUUAAAAUAGGUAAUUGUUUUAACUAAAAAACACAUUGAAUAACCUUUUGAUCUUACAAUUUUUAUCAUAAUUAAAUUAGAUCAUUUCAUUGUUUAAAAAAGUAUAUAAACCACUGUUAAGAGGCUUAUAGUUGUCAUAUUACUCCGGUGAGUUUCUGCCCGAACAGUAUCGUUGAGUCGGCCCUUCAAUCGUGAAAUUGUACUUUUAAAUCAGCGAUAAUAAAAAGAGUCUUGUUUCUUAUAAUUUAUAUAAGAUCGAAGGUAAUUUUCAUUGAAUUUUAUAAGUUCAUUUAUUUCGAUUGUCGUAUAAUAUUAUUUUAUGAAAGUUACUUCCGAUUAUUAAGGAAACAAGUUUCUUUUUGUAUUAAGGUACAGUGUCGAAAAGUAAUUCUUAAAUAGUAUUGAAUAGUCGUUGGUGCAUAAGUGCUAAAUAACGAACUUAAUUAUUGUCAUCCUGCGAUACAAUUGUGUAAAGCCGGUUGCAUUGUAACAAUCCAGAACCAACUUCAACAUUAUAUCUUUUAUGUAAAUACCAUAGAAAAAGAAGUUGUCCAGGAUGAGGGGUAAUUAAAAGAGACGGUAAUUUCAAACUUACCGUGCAACACUCACAUACGCAAAACGAACGUGAAGAAAGAAUUUUAUCAUUUAGAAGGGAGUUACAUAACAGCUCCAUUAGCCAGCCAAACACUCCUCGAAGUAUUUAUCAGACUUUCAGUCCUUUGCAUGAAAAUUUUGAAAAUGAUCUUCCAUUUAAUGCCACACAAGCAAAUAUGACAAGAUGGAAAAAUUCACACAGUCCAACGGAAAUUCCGAAUGACUUAAAUCAUUUUUCAGCAACAAUAAACAAACAAAUUUGGAUGAAUUUACGUAAUUAUAUUGGAGGAUCACUUGAAUACAUUUUAAUAACUGGCGAUGAGUUUAAUUCUAUUUUAAUUAUUGAUCCGCAAUUCUCAAGACCAUUACUAGAAAUUGGCAACUUUUUAAUUCAUAUUUCGAUAACAACAAUUCCUUCUUCUGUAUGGUGCAAACAAAUGUUAUCCUUAAUAUGCGUCAAAAGUGGCUAUCUAAUCCCAUGUGCCUGGGCACUCAUGGACACAAAUUCUACACAAGCAUACACAGCUAUUUUUGAAAAAAUAAGAGACAUCACUCCAGAGUUUAAAAUGAUUUCGGUUCUAACAAAUUUUUCAAACUCAUUGCACACAAGCAUUUAACAAGUUUUUCCUGCAGCCAUAAUUUCGGGAUGUUUGUUUCACUAUCAGGAGGAAGUUUACAAACUGACUAUCCAGCAUGGGCUAAUUAAUUAUUUAAUUCAAAAUGAUGACCGAGAAAUUAAGGAAUUUCUACAAUUUAUCUUCACUUUGCCACUUUUGCCAUCUCAAGUAAUUAAUUAAACAUUUUCUGAAAAAAUUGAAAGUCUUAGUGCAAAUGCUUAUAUCGUGCUGCAAGUAUUUUUCUUAAACUAUGACCGAAUUUGGUUAAGACAAGUCACUGCAAAUAAAUUCAGCGUCCACAAAAAUUUUGAACGAUGUACUGACAUGUUCGAAAAUUACAAUACAACCUUAAUAUCAGAAUUUGGGCUUUAUCCUAUGGUGUGGAAAUUUCCAGUAGCACUUUGCAAAAUACAAGCUCAUGGGUUCAGAAACAAAAAACUAUCGACGAUGAAAAUUUAAAUGGAAUUAAUGCACUGAAAUUAUUAAAUAGACGAAGUAUAUCAAGAAUUAGAAAUUCAUGGAAUAAUUUAGAGUUGUCAACAAUCACAAAAACUGAAUUCAUUAAUCAAUGUCGUAGAAUUUACGCAGAAUCGAGAAUUGAGUAUUUCAAUGUAAGUCUUGAAGGAUUUGAAACAGAGGACAUGUUAGAAUUAAUCAAUUUUUCUAACAAUGACGCUGAUGUUGAACAUAGCCCAACUUCUUGCAUGGACCUUGUAAUGGUAUUACAUAGCAAGACAUGCAAUAUUACACUGCAAUAUUGGAGCAAGCCUCCUGCAAGAUUAAAACGUCAACAUUGCACGGCAAUCUUGAGACAGCAUUACGUCACAGUUACUUUGGGGGUAUCAAAAAGCGUUGCAGAUCAAUUUGAUUUAAAAAAUAGGUCAAAAUGAUCCAAAAUUUGUAUUAUUUUACUGCAACAUUUGAUGUCAAUUGUUUGUUCUGAAACGUCAAUGACAUAACCAUCGUUGAGUUUAUGAAAAAAUUGCAUUUUCUAUUUGAAGUUUUAGUAAAAAUUGUUAAAGCACUCGACUUUGAAUUUAAAAAAAAAUUUUGUUUAUUCAAUUCUGUUUUGUGCAACUAAAUCUUAAUUCUUUGAAAUAAGGUUGUAUAAUCAAACCAUAACCGCUUGCUUAGAAUUGCUUA